GGUAAAAUGGCCGAGGUUUAAUAGGUGAUAAAUUGUAAAUUUAUUUAGGAGAAAUUCUCUUUUGCCA
rnacentral:tRNA from 1 species